GACGAACGCUGGCGGCGUGCUUAACACAUGCAAGUCGAACGGCAAGGCCCUGCUUUUGUGGGGUGCUCGAGUGGCGAACGGGUGAGUAACACGUGAGUAACCUGCCCUUGACUUUGGGAUAACGUCAGGAACCUGGGGCUAAUACCGGAUAGGAGCGCCUGCUGCAUGGUGGGGGUUGGAACGUUUAGGCGGUUGGGGAUGGACUCGCGGCUUAUCAGCUUGUUGGUGGGGUAGUGGCUUACCAAGGCUUUGACGGGUAGCCGGCCUGAGAGGGUGACCGGCCACAUGGGGACUGAGGGAGGGCCCAGAGUCCUACGGGAGGCAGCAGUGGGGAAUAUUGCACAAUGGUCGGAAGCCUGAUGCAGCGACGCCGCGUGUGGGAUGACGGCCUGCGGGUUGUAAACCGCUUUCGCCUGUGACGAAGCGUGGGUGACGGUAAUGGGUAAAGAAGCACCGGCUAACUACGUG
rnacentral:rRNA from 1 species